GACAAACGCUGGCGGCAUGCCUAACACAUGCAAGUCGAACGGACAGAACAGGGAAGCUUUUCGGAGUGGAACUGGAAAGUUAGUGGCGGAUGGGUGAGUAACGCGUGGACAACCUACCUUGUAAAGGGGAAUAACCUCGAGAAAUCGAAGCUAAUACCCCAUAAUAACCUUGCUUCGCAUGAAGUAAGGAGGAAAGGCGGCCUUAGCGCUGUCGAUACAAGAUGGGUCCGCGUCUGAUUAGCUAGUUGGUGAGGUAAAGGCGCACCAAGGCGACGAUCAGUAGCCGGCCUGAGAGGGUGAACGGCCACAUUGGGACUGAGACACGGCCCAAACUCCUACGGGAGGCAGCAGUGGGGAAUCUUCCGCAAUGGGCGAAAGCCUGACGGAGCAAUGCCGCGUGAGUGAAGAGGGCCUUCGGGUUGUAAAACUCUGUCCUUAUCGAAGAGAGAGUGUUGUAGUAACUGACAAUACUAGGACGGUAGAUGAGGAGGAAGCCCCGGCUAACUAUGUG
rnacentral:rRNA from 1 species